rnacentral:rRNA from 1 species
UACAGAGGUCUCAAGCGUUGUUCGGAUUCAUUGGGCGUAAAGGGCGCGUAGGCGGCGCGGUAAGUCACUUGUGAAAUCUCUGAGCUUAACUCAGAACGGCCAAGUGAUACUGCAGUGCUAGAGUGCGGAAGGGGCAAUCGGAAUUCUUGGUGUAGCGGUGAAAUGCGUAGAUAUCAGGAGGAACACCUGAGGUGAAGACGGGUUGCUGGGCCGACACUGACGCUGAGUGCGCGAAAGCCAGGGGAGCAAACGGG